rnacentral:rRNA from 1 species
UACGUAGGUGGCAAGCGUUGUCCGGAUUUACUGGGCGUAAAGAGCGCGCAGGCGGUCGUAUAACUCGAAUGUGAAGGCCCCCGGCUCAACUGGGGAGGGUCAUUCGAUACUGUUCGACUCGAAGGCAGGAGAGGGAAGUGGAAUUCCGGGUGUAGUGGUGAAAUGCGUAGAUAUCCGGAGGAACACCAGUGGCGAAGGCGACUUUCUGGCCUGUUCUUGACGCUGAGGCGCGAAAGCUAGGGGAGCAAACGGG